rnacentral:rRNA from 1 species
CCUAUUAACUUUUGAUGUUACUAUCAGCGCCUACCAUGGUGACCAUGGGUAACGGGGAAUCAGGGUUUGAUUCCA